UACGGAGGGGGCUAGCGUUGUUCGGAAUUACUGGGCGUAAAGCGCACGUAGGCGGCUUUUUAAGUUAGAGGUGAAAGCCCGGAGCUCAACUUCGGAAUUGCCUUUAAGACUGGAUCGCUUGAAUCACGGAGAGGUGGGUGGAAUUCCGAGUGUAGAGGUGAAAUUCGUAGAUAUUCGGAAGAACACCAGUGGCGAAGGCGGCCCACUGGACGUGUAUUGACGCUGAGGUGCGAAAGCGUGGGGAGCAAACAGG
rnacentral:rRNA from 1 species